UACGGAGGGAGCUAGCGUUGUUCGGAAUUACUGGGCGUAAAGCGCGCGUAGGCGGUUUUUUAAGUCAGAGGUGAAAGCCCAGUGCUCAACACUGGAACUGCCUUUGAAACUGGAAAACUUGAAUCUUGGAGAGGUCAGUGGAAUUCCGAGUGUAGAGGUGAAAUUCGUAGAUAUUCGGAAGAACACCAGUGGCGAAGGCGGCUCACUGGCUCGGUACUGACGCUGAGGUGCGAAAGCGUGGGGAGCAAACAGG
rnacentral:rRNA from 1 species